rnacentral:tRNA from 8 species
CGGUCUGUAGUUCAGUUGGAUAGAACAUCUGCCUUCUAAGCAGUAGGUCACAGGUUCGAGUCCUGUCAGAUCGGCCA